rnacentral:rRNA from 1 species
AUUGAACGCUGGCGGCAGGCCUAACACAUGCAAGUCGAACGAGCGGCGGACGGGUGAGUAAUGUCUGGGAAACUGCCUGAUGGAGGGGGAUAACUACUGGAAACAGUAGCUAAUACCGCAUACCAUCGGAUGUGCCCAGAUGGGAUUAGCUAGUAGGUGGGGUAAUGGCUCACCUAGGCGACGAUCCCUAGCUGGUCUGAGAGGAUGACCAGCCACACUGGAACUAAGACACGGUCCAGAUGCCGACGGGAGGCAGCAGUGGGGAAUAUUGCGAAAUGGGCGAAAGCCUGAUGAAGCCAUGCCGCGUGUAUGAAGAAGGCCUUCGGGUUGUAAAGUACUUUCAGCGAGGAGGCGUUACUCGCAGAAGAAGCACCGGCUAACUCCGUGCCAGCAGCCGCGGUAAUUC